UGUAAAAUGAGCGAUGUGAUAUUUUUCUCAUUAGGAUAUCAUAAAAGAGAACUCCACACAUUUAAGAAGAUUACAAUUCUUUAACAUAGUUUUACCCAAAAGAAAAGGAUUGCUAUGAACUCAUUCGAUCAACCUACUCAUUGUCAUUGAGACUGUUUAUCAGUUAACGACGGAGAUACUAUUACAGAAAAAAUGACUUCUUUUUAUAGUCAGCCACUUCUAACUGGAAAAGAGAAACAAGAAAUUGACCAAAAAGAUUGGAAGAAAUGUCGAAGCCUGAAAUUUGAGAAGUUACAGACAGAAGCUACAGAGACCAGUCAGCAUCAGAAAAGGAGAAAUAAAGGAAAAUGGAAAGAAGUUACCUUCUGCCAGAAAGAUCCAUGAACCUCAUACCAACAGCUAUACAAGGAAGCAUCAAGAAAUUUGUAAAUGCACUAAUGAGGAAAGAUGCAGAUUCUGAUCCAAUGCCAAGGUUAGAAAGAAGAGCUGAAAUGCCUGCCUGCUGAAGAAUUUGAGGUGCGUAGUACAAAACCCCAUUGAUACCAGAAAACUGCAGAAACAUGAGAAAGAAUGAGAAGCAAGUUUGGACAAGUCUAUUAUCCAACAAAGUUGACUCGUCUUAAAAUCAAUAAGGUUAUUAGAGAAAACAAAAUGCCUGGAUGAACCCGCCAUCAACUGGAACAUCACCUCCAGUGAGUGAAAUGAGAGACCCACGUCUUGACCCAGGAGCACCCUCCUCGUGCAGAUAAAUCCGUUUAAAACCUCCUCCUUUCUUUCCAUCUUCACCUUCUCUCUCGGACCAUUUCCAUGCUAGCUGCCAACCACUACCAAUACCCAUGUUACCAACAGCUUCUGCAUUCCCUUGCAUGUGACUGCUGUCGCGUCUCAUACUUAGAAUGCUUCCAUGGGGCUGAGGGACGAUCAUGUCCUUCUCCAUGCUUGUCGUUUGACGUGAAAUUAAUGGACUAUGCAAAUUAUCAUCUGAAUCGGCACCAUCAGCCUCUGAUGCGUAUCCAUCACUUUCUCUCUGCUGACUCUCUUCAUCCCAAUCUUCAUUUUUAUCCUGAGGCUCAGCUGUACUGAACAUGCUGCCAAAAUUGGGAAAUAGCAUGCUUCGCAUACUUCCCGUCUCUGGAAGCUUCUCAUGGACACUGCCAAAGAGUGUUACAAGAGGAUCCUUGAGAGACAAGGUCCGAUUUACCAUGGUUCCUUGACGGGAGACAAGGCCUAUGCUACUCUGUCCAUUAACAGGCUUGGCAACCCAUGAGCGGCCAUCCUCAGGUCCAUACAACUUGAUACGGUCUUUACCAGGAUAUGGCUCUUGAUCCUCCCCAAGAUCAUCCGCUGGACUGAUGAUGUAUUCUUCUAUGGAUGUGUUACCACCAACUGCUAGACCUUCAACCACUAAAGCCAUCUCACCUAUGAAAAAAGGAACAUCAGCACAAUCAACAUAGUGAUUAAAAUUUCAAGCUUUCAUACGAUAUUUGGUCAAAGAAAAUUAGAAACUCCAAAUGGUUUCAUUAGUAAAACUUUUACCACAGAUAGAGGAAAAAAAGAAGGCAACAAUAUAACUACAGACGAACAUCCAUAUAAGAUCCUUUGAUCACUUAUUAUACCAUGUUAAAGUUGGAAAAGAAAGUCAUACGACAGUAAUGACAAGUUGAAUCAUCUAAAUUGUAAGACAAACAGUUGUGCAGCCAGUAAACCUCAAAUAACACACAAGAAAGAUAAAAAUUAUAAAGCUGAGAAUUCGACCAUUGUAAUUAGCCUCUAAGUUGCUACAUUACGUAUACAUGCAGAAUGCAAUUGAUUUUUUUAACAACGUGCAAUUAUUAUGUAUAUUUUAAUAGUUUUAAUUUAUUUUUGACAGUCCUUUGCUUUCGAAACUUCCGAAAUUUCUGGCUUUAAGUGAAUAUGCCAAAAAUAUGCAGCACAGAUUCCACUGAAAAACAAGGAUUUAAUCCAAAUUCAUCUAUCAGUAUCCACAUUUUAGCAUACCCUAACCAGAAAAGACCUUCAGGACAGCAUAUUUAUCUUAUCAUUUGCAUAAAAUAUGAAAAAAAAAAAAAAAAAAAAAAAAAUCAAGUAUGAUUGGACAAAUUUUUUUUUGGGAAUUUUAAAAAAAAAUUUCUUUACCAUCAACAAAUUAGAAUUGAAGAAUAGUUCCAUAUUUUGAGAUCGUUUUCAUAAGAAGAUGAUCUUAGCACGACAUGUUGCAAACUAAGAGCUAGACCAAGACUAACGUGGCCUGUUGAGAUUGCUACACACUUAGCUACCUUGGAUAUCCCCACUAAAAUGUGCGAUGAACAAAACAUAUUGAUGAAAAAGGAUUUGCGUUAGGCUUAUUGUUGCUUGCUACUUUUAUUAUUAUUGUUGGUUGCUAUUUUUAUUAAACAAAGAAAUCUAUAAUCUUUUAACACCACAAACCGCGGCCUAACGGUGCAGGACAUCAUUUUUCUAACUGAAUUUGACACGUAAAGAAUAUAUGUAAGGUUACCUUUUCCUUUACUAAAAAAUACCAUGAGAACAGUUCAUAAGUUGAAAGUCCAAUUAGAAUGCAUUUGUAAAUUUCAAACAAGUAAUAGUUCAAACUUUUUAACUGGUUGGACUAGGAUCGAGCAUAACUCGUUCAAGACCUCGACCAAAAAUUUAAUUUGAAGAAAUUGCCCUUAAUACGCCCUUUUCCAUAUUCCAAAUAUGCUCACCUUUUCUUUCAUAAUAUCACAUGUACUCCCCUUAAUAUCUAUGAAUAAUUAUGUUUAUAUACCCAAAAGUAUACCGAAUUGUUUAACUCCUCUCACAUGCACGUGGAACCCGCGUGAAUAAAAAAAUCUCAAAACAUGGUCCCACCCCCACCCCCCAUUGAAUAGGGGAAUACAGUAAAAGAUUAGAUAAAAAAAUUCGAUACAUGUAGUAUGAUCCAAUAUCUGUUGGUAUUGAGCCAUUAGAUGGUAAGGCACAAUCCAAAUGGCCAAAAAUAAAAAAGGCUAUGCAAGCCUUGAAAGCCAAAUACGGACCCAAACCAGCUUUACAUCUCCAGCGCAUUUUGUGUUUCUUAUUCUUUUUUCUUCAUUCAUACUAAGCUCUUUACCAGCUUGCAGUUUAGUUGUACCAAAGACAACGGAUUCCAGCAAUCCUAUUUAGGACAAUCAGUAGAGAAAAGGUAUAACAUCUCUCUUAUAUAAAUUACGAGAAUAAACGAAUCCUCAAUCGAAUUACAUUGCACAAAACUCGCUAGACAGCAUAGCAUAGUGCCGAUGAAGAACUAACAACCGAGUUGAGCUUCUCCCAUUACUCGUGCUUAUCAGAAACCUGUUUCGUUCCAACAGCAAAGAACUCUGUAAUGACCUCCAGUGGCAUGCCCUUUGUUUCAGGAACCCUUAAGUACACGAAAAUCAAGGAGAGGAGACAUACCACGGCAUAAAUGGCAAAAACACCGGCCAACCCAAUCGAACUAAGCAACAAGGGAAAAGUGUAGGUAACGAUGACAUCACCUAUCCAGAAGACUAGAGCACAGAUGGCAAUGCAGAUUCCACGAACCCUUGUAGGAAAUAUUUCAGAGCAGAGAAUAUUCGGGAUUGACCCAUAGGCCAUAACGAAAACGCAGAUGUAGAUAAUUAGACAGAUGGUUGAGAUAACGGCAUGUGCUAUGGUUCCAAAAUCGAAAACAUCAGAUAUGAUGAGGAUGAUGAGUGACACUAUCAAAACCGGGAUAGUCGUGAGCAGCAAGGACCUGUAAAAUGAGCGAUGUGAUAUUUUUCUCAUUAGGAUAUCAUAAAAGAGAACUCCACACAUUUAAGAAGAUUACAAUUCUUUAACAUAGUUUUACCCAAAAGAAAAGGAUUGCUAUGAACUCAUUCGAUCAACCUACUCACUGUCAUUGAGACUGUUUAUCAGUUAACGACGGAGAUACUAUUACAGAAAAAAUGACUUCUUUUUAUAGUCAGCCACUUCUAACUGGAAAAGAGAAACAAGAAAUUGACCAAAAAGAUUGGAAGAAAUGUCGAAGCCUGAAAUUUGAGAAGUUACAGACAGAAGCUACAGAGACCAGUCAGCAUCAGAAAAGGAGAAAUAAAGGAAAAUGGAAAGAAGUUACCUUCUGCCAGAAAGAUCCAUGAACCUCAUACCAACAGCUAUACAAGGAAGCAUCAAGAAAUUUGUAAAUGCACUAAUGAGGAAAGAUGCAGAUUCUGAUCCAAUGCCAAGGUUAGAAAGAAGAGCUGAAAUGCCUGCCUGCUGAAGAAUUUGAGGUGCGUAGUACAAAACCCCAUUGAUACCAGAAAACUGCAGAAACAUGAGAAAGAAUGAGAAGCAAGUUUGGACAAGUCUAUUAUCCAACAAAGUUGACUCGUCUUAAAAUCAAUAAGGUUAUUAGAGAAAACAAAACAAAAAAAAAUAAUCAUUU
rnacentral:lncRNA from 1 species